CCUACGGGGGGCUGCAGUGAGGAAUAUUGGUCAAUGGGCGUAAGCCUGAACCAGCCAAGUCGCGUGAGGGAUGAAGGUUCUAUGGAUCGUAAACCUCUUUUAUAAGGGAAUAAAGUGUGGGACGUGUCCUGUUUUGUAUGUACCUUAUGAAUAAGGAACGGCUAACGCCGGGCCAGCAGCCGCGGUAAUACGGAGGAUCCGAGCGUUAUCCGGAUUUAUUGGGUUUAACGGGGGCGUAGGCGGCCUUUUAAGUCAGCGGGGUCAGUCUGGGGCUCACCCAUAGAAUUGCCGUUGAAACUGGUAGUCUUGCGUAUGUUUGCGGCCGUCGGCAUGCGUGGUGUAUCGGU
rnacentral:rRNA from 1 species